rnacentral:piRNA from 1 species
GACUGGGCUUCCAAUGGGGAAGAGG